rnacentral:rRNA from 1 species
AGCGAACGCUGGCGGCAGGCCUAACACAUGCAAGUCGAACGAAGUCUUCGGACUUAGUGGCGGACGGGUGAGUAACACGUGGGAACGUGCCUUUAGGUUCGGAAUAACUCAGGGAAACUUGUGCUAAUACCGAAUGUGCCCUUCGGGGGAAAGAUUUAUCGCCUUUAGAGCGGCCCGCGUCUGAUUAGCUAGUUGGUGAGGUAAAGGCUCACCGAGGCUACGAUCAGUAGCCGGUCUGAGAGGAUGACCAGCCACAUUGGGACUGAGACACGGCCCAAACUCCUACGGGAGGCAGCAGUGGGGAAUCUUGCGCAAUGGGCGAAAGCCUGACGCAGCCAUGCCGCGUGGAUGAUGAAGGUCUUAGGAUUGUAAAAUCCUUUCACCGGUGAAGAUAAUGACUGUAGCCGGAGAAGAAGCCCCGGCUAACUUCGUGCCAGCCGCCGCGGUAAUAC